rnacentral:rRNA from 1 species
GAAAGCUGAAAAGUACUCUUAAUCGAGUGUGAAAAGACUUGAAAUCUACUAGUGACAGCUGGUUACGGCAUUACGGUGUCGUAACGUACGUUUAGAAAAAUGGGCCAAGGAGUUUAUUCUUGUGGCGAGGUUAAAGAAAUGAAGCCGGAGCGAAAGCGAGUAUGAAAAUGCGUUAGUCACUGGGGUAAGACCCGAAGCUAGAUGAUCUAUUCGUGGGCAGGCUGAAGUUUUUCGAAAGGAAAAUGGAGGGCCGAACCGUUGUUGUGUGCAUGCACUCGAAUGACCUGCGAAUAGGGGUGAAAAGCCUAUCUAAUCUAGCGAUGGCUGGUUCCUGUCGAAAUAUGCCGAAGUAUAGUCUUGUUUAGUUGGGUAGCGAGGUAAAGUACGGAUAGAGUUUGCAGGGCGGAAACGUUACGGAACUCAUUCCAACUCUGAACUUGUUACCGACGUAAAACAGGAAUGGGGGUCAGUGCGUAAGGUACUGUUCCGAGACCCGAACAAGGGAGACUGGAGUUAAGGUCCCAAAAUGUAUGCUAAGUGUAACGAAGGGUGUCUUGAACCUAAGACAGUGGGGAUGUAGGCCCAGAAGCAGCCAUCAUUCAAAGAAAGCGUAAUAGCUCACCUAUUGAGGUUCGAGGCCCCGAAAAUGGACGGGGCUAAGCAUACUACCGAUACUCCAGAGGCGCUCGACAAUUUUUCAAUUUACCGUCGAGGGAAAUUGAAAAGACAGAUAAUCCGCAAGGAUUUUCUGGAUGUAUUUUGUGUCUUUUAGGUUUGAUAAUUUAUCACUCGAUAAAGGUUAUAAAUAGUAAACUUUAAAAACUCUUUAAAAUCUUAUUUUUCAUGACGCUAGGGGAAUCUUAUAGUGCAGCUGAAGUAAGAAGGAUGCUGGAAAUAGUUGAUAGAAUCCAUUUUAAUAAGGGGAUGUUAAAGUAUAUUGAUGGGGUUCUUGGACAAGAUAGAAGGUUGCCUGGUCUUAAAGAUCAGUAUCCUGAAUUUGCAGAGGAUUUAGCUAUUGCAAAGGAUAGAAGAGAUUUUGUAUAUGAAGGUCUUGAAUUUGCUUGUAGAGAAUUUCAUGAAAUACCAGAAAAAUUAACACUAACAUUAGAAGGGCUUGAUGUAGGAAAAAUUGAGUUAGAAUACGGAAUAGGCAUCGAUUCAUAAUUAUUCAUUUAUCACAAAUCAUAUUCAACUUUUGUUGAAAAUCAUAUUCAUUUCUAAAAGACACAAAAUACAUUUGUCAUAUUAUGAGCGUUCUGGUAGGCAGGCGUCUUUUCUGCGCAGAAGCGUUUCCGAGAGGAUGCGUGGAGCGGGAAGGAACGAGAAUCUUGGCGUUAGUAAGAUCAGAUUACUUUGAGAAUAAGUAGCACCGGAAGAGCAAGGUUUCCUUGGCACUAUCGUUUAACCAAGGGUUAGUCGGCUCCUAAGCCAUAUCUUAACUGCGUAUGGCGAAUGGGAAUCUGGUUAAUAUUCCAGAACUUGUUAAUCUUUGUUACAAAAUUUACUUUGGGAUAGGUAGGCAUUCGAGAGGAUGUUGAGUAGUAGAAGUCUGUGGAUCGUAAUGAAGCGAAGCAGAAGAACACUACGAAGGAAAGCUAUUGACUCCGAGGGUCCGUGAAAAGUUUUGUAGCGCGUGGGAUUAGCAAGCCGUACCCAGAAUCGACACUGAUGCUCUGGCUGAGUAGGCUAAGGUGUGAAAGGACAAACCAAUUAAGGGAAUUCGGCAAUCUCGCCCCGUAUCUUAGGUAUAAGGGGUGUCUAUAGAUGUGUUCAUUAGAAUGCAUCAGUAGAUCGCAGUGACAAGGACUGGCCGACUGUUUAUCAAAAACGUAGCUGAUUGCUAAUCCGAAAGGACGUGUAUAAUCGGUGAGAUCUGCCCAGUGGUGGGUUGUGAAACCUGGGUUCAACCGGGCUAAGCCCCACUAAACGGCGGGCCUAACUAUGAGGCUCUUAAGGUAGCGUAAUGCCUUGUCGUUUGAAUGGCGACGUGCAUGAACGGUUUAACGAGCUGGUCGCUGUCCCUAAUUGGAACCUUCUGAACUCACUUACCGGUGAAAAUGCCGGUGACGCCUAGUGGGAAGCGGAGACCUUGUGAACCUUUACUACAACUUGUUGUUGUGAUGUUAGGGAAGAUGCAUAGCAUAGGUAGGAGCGUCGAAGCCAACUUUCAGGAGUUGGUGGAGCGACCUUGUAAUACUACCCAUCUUUCUUGGCAUUGCUUACCUGAGAGGGGACACCAACAGGCGGGUAGUUUGCUGGGGCGGCACCCUGCAGAAAAGAUAUCUGUAGGGCCCAAAGACUAGCUCAUCCGGGUUGGAAAUCUGGAGUAGAGCGCGAGGGCAAAAGCUAGUCUGACUGUAUUUCGAAAAGCAAGAGAUGCAGGGAUGAAAGUCGGGCCUAGCGACCCCACGUGGCUUAUUAAUAGGGCCCGUGUGUGACAGAAAAGGUACUCCAAGGAUAACAGG